UUGCCCCUUUAAUAAGUCUGCAUGGCCCCUUUAAAAAUGGCGCACUGAUUGCAUAAGGUGGGUGGGUACGUCAGGUAAUCACGUAGCUAUAUAGACACAGGUGAAAUGUAGUUUCCUCAUGACUUUGUAUCGAUGUGACCUGUUUGCGUAGGUCUUGUAUCUCCUUCACUCCUCGGUAAAGAUUAGUCAGUUACGUUCGGGCAUUGCUAGUGAGCAUGUGAGUGUUAUGCACGUCAAAGAAGUUGCUAGCUGCUGCUUUGCUGUGGCUUAAAUGCCGUUUCCAGUUUUGGGACGCAGAAUUUUUGUGCGCACGCGAUUGCACUGAACGUCUUCGCUGUCGCCUGUAUAACAUUCGCGUUGGAUGCGCUGUAAGACCGUGGCCUUUGAUUCUGGCGCCACCUGGUGUUCGCUGGUAACUCCAUCGUGUUUGUUUGUUUUGUGUGUUUUGUUUAAGUGUGUGUGUGCAAUGGAGUUUGAUUGAAAUUGACUUUGUUUCAGUUCAAGUUGCUUCAUUGUAUUUUAUUUAUUAGGUUUUGUUUAUUAACCAAUUUAUUUAGUUUAUAUUAUUUUGGUUGGUUGUAUUUCUUUGUCUUGUUUCACACUGAUGCUGCUCCAUUACGUAGUUGAGAUUGUGGUUUAUUUAUUUUUGUUCUUUCUGGUUUUGGUUUAUUUGGUUGAUGUGGGGUGGGUUUAAAUUAUUGUACUCUUGGUUUGAAGUGUUUUUUUGUAUUUUGUUUUAUUAUGGAGCAGUGAAAUGUGUUAUGUCAAGACAUAAUUCCAAAGAAAGAAACCUCCUUGUUAAGUCUAUCUGUUUUUGUGAACUGUUUCUUUGUGUAUUAGAUUUCCUUUUUUUUUUCGUGUGUGUUUGGCCAGUGCAAGGGUGGUUGACCUAUGUGAACUGACUAACGAUGCCCAUUGGGCUGAUUCAUUCACAUUGAUUAA